rnacentral:lncRNA from 1 species
UCAUCCAUAUUUUUUUUCGUCUGCAUUCUGAUUGGCCUCAAGCUUCAUGAAUUCAAUAUCCACCUUAUUAUAUCUCUUUGUCUUUGCCAAAGAGAAAACCUUUGAAAGCCACAGCCUCUGUCAUAAGCGCAGAGGCUCUUGCGAGCUACUCCACCAACUUCAGCUUUGCCUGUACCGCCAUCAUAAUUAUUACCAGAAUUUAAUUUUGUUUGAGACAAAAGGAGAGAUAAAAUCUACCCCUUGAAAAAGGUUUUCUGACCUGUCAUAGGUUUAAACAGGAGGAUAAGCUGUUUCUUUCACACAAAGCUCUCUUUUUUCAGGAGUCAACUUCACUUGAUGCUAAAACAUCAUAUUGACAAUAAGAUAAAGAUGAAGAUCUCCCUUAUCUUUCUUGUGCUCCUAAGGCAACAUGUUAUGACUUUCGAAAUUUGACGAUUCCCAUAUUUUUGUAAUCCAUUUUGUGUAAUCUAAACUAAAAAAGAAAAAAGGAAAAAAAGUACUUCUCUCGUAUAUAAGUAAUAGUGUGAUUUUGAGCU